CCGGCGCACGGUGAGUAACACGUAUGCAAUCCACCUGUAACAGGGGGAUAACCCGGAGAAAUCCGGACUAAUACCCCAUAAUAUGGGCGCUCCGCAUGGAGAGUUCAUUAAAGAGAGCAAUUUUGGUUACAGACGAGCAUGCGCUCCAUUAGCCAGUUGGCGGGGUAACGGCCCACCAAGGCGACGAUGGAUAGGGGUUCUGAGAGGAAGGUCCCCCACAUUGGAACUGAGACACGGUCCAA
rnacentral:rRNA from 1 species